CUGAGAAGGGCUCGUCAAACAAACAAAAAACAAGCUUCUCUCAUUUUUGUUUGAAGUAGUGUUUGGAGACGGAGAAGAGAAUGCAAUGAGUUCAUAAUGCCUGGAUCCAUUCCUUUCAAACUUACAAAGGUUUCUCCACUUUUUCGAUAUUCAAGGAUACCACCGCCUAGGAACACAUAUUGGAGACCCAAGAACCCGAAAUGGAAGGAGGAUCGUCCCGUGCCACUAGAAACAGCCGUUGCUCAGAAAUUAGAAAAUAAUGACAUUCCUCAGGCCAGGACUGUCCCUCGUUAUUACAUCAAUCGCAACCCCUGCAAUUUAACCGUCAGCGGAGAUCAACCUAAGCGGAAGGGAUUUCAGCAUGACAGUGUGUUGAAGAUAGCACCUGAUGUGGACUACUAUUAUCGGUUGCACCUGAUUGAGACAAAUACAGGAUUGACCGCAUGGGUGCAACACACUUACGGCAAAAUAGUUGUACGGGCCUCUACAACGGAUGAUUGCAUUAACCACUUCCUCUACAGCAACACCUCAGUGAACGCUGCACGUCAACUGGGUCGCAUCAUGGCCCAGCGAAUGAAGAUGAGCGGCAUCUGGAAUAUAACAUGGACACGCAAGGGUGUCUUCAGAAGGGCCAAUCAGAAAGCAGAUGCCUUUGAAGCUGCCAUUAUGGGUGCUGGAAUAGCACUCCACGAACGUCGCAACAAAGUGAAGGAUACACACGAACCGUUCAGAGUAAUUUACUACACCACCACUCAGCAGAAUCCAAGAUCGGGCCGGCCCGGCUUGAGGAGAAGAGAGUUGCCUGAGACUGAGCCUAAGGCUGUGGCUGAUACUGCUGUGUGAGCAACUAAUUUCAUUUUGGAAAGCGAACUGGACUUCAUAUGAGAAUAAGAAUCAUAUAAAAUACCCACGUAAUACUUAUAGUGAUGUACGUGCUUGCAAUAUCAUCAUCAUGAUGCGCAUACUUGCAAUUCAACAAUUAUUAGGAUUUCCCAUGCCUACGA